GACGAACGCUGGCGGCGUGCUUAACACAUGCAAGUCGAGCGGUAAGGCCCUUUCGGGGUACACGAGCGGCGAACGGGUGAGUAACACGUGGGUGACCUGCCCUCAGCUCUGGGAUAAGCCUGGGAAACCGGGUCUAAUACCGGAUAUGACUCCAUGACGCAUGUUGUGGGGUGGAAAGCCUUGUGCGGCUGAGGAUGGGCCCGCGCCUAUCAGCUUGUUGGUGGGGUGAGGCCUACCAAGGCGACGACGGGUAGCCGGCCUGAGAGGGCGACCGGCCACACUGGGACUGAGACACGGCCCAGACUCCUACGGGAGGCAGCAGUGGGGAAUCUUGCGCAAUGGGCGAAAGCCUGACGCAGCGACGCCGCGUGAGGGAUGACGGCCU
rnacentral:rRNA from 1 species